AUUGAACGCUGGCGGCAUGCCUUACACAUGCAAGUCGAACGGUAACAGGUCUUCGGAUGCUGACGAGUGGCGAACGGGUGAGUAAUACAUCGGAACGUGCCUAGUAGUGGGGGAUAACUACUCGAAAGAGUGGCUAAUACCGCAUGAGAUCUACGGAUGAAAGGAGGGGAUCGCAAGACCUUGUGCUACUAGAGCGGCCGAUGGCAGAUUAGGUAGUUGGUGGGAUAAAAGCUUACCAAGCCGACGAUCUGUAGCUGGUCUGAGAGGACGAUCAGCCACACUGGGACUGAGACACGGCCCAGACUCUUACGGGAGGCAGCAGUGGGGAAUUUUGGACAAUGGGCGCAAGCCUGAUCCAGCAAUGCCGCGUGCAGGAUGAAGGCCUUCGGGUUGUAAACUGCUUUUGUACGGAACGAAAAGCCCUGGGUUAAUACCCUGGGGUCAUGACGGUACCGUAAGAAUAAGCACCGGCUAACUACGUGCCAGCAGCCGCAGUAA
rnacentral:rRNA from 1 species